UACGGGGGGGGCAAGCGUUGUUCGGAAUUACUGGGCGUAAAGCGCACGUAGGCGGCUUUGUAAGUUAGGGGUGAAAGCCCGGAGCUCAACUCCGGAAUUGCCUUUAAGACUGCAUCGCUUGAAUCCGGGAGAGGUGAGUGGAAUUCCGAGUGUAGAGGUGAAAUUCGUAGAUAUUCUGAAGAACACCAGUGGCGAAGGCGGCUCACUGGACCGGUAUUGACGCUGAGGUGCGAAAGCGUGGGGAGCAAACAGG
rnacentral:rRNA from 1 species